rnacentral:lncRNA from 1 species
UUUUUGUAUUUUUUGAAUAUCAAAAACUAUUUUAAAUGAAUUAAAAAUAACCAGAAAAGAGAAAAUUACUAAAAAGUAUCAAAUGACAAAACAAAUAAUAUUAAAAAUCAUUUUUAGAAAGUAGAAAUUAAAAGGAGAAGAAUGAAAUUGGUCCCAUAAUUUUUGGACUAAUAAUGAGAGAGAUAUGAAUUUUUAAAAUGAAAUGGA